GGAUAAGUGAUAAAUAAACGCAUGAAAAACACCAUCUAGCAUUAGUUCAUUGAGCUAUUAUACAACACAAUUUUAACUUGAAGCGCAGAAAUUAUAGUCCAAACAAACAUGAGCAUGAAAGUGCUGUUGCAGUACGAGUCUUUCUCAUUUGGUAAGUACCUCCAUGCUGAAGGCAGUUGCGUGGAAGGCUUAUCAUUUAUAACGUCCUGGUGGCAGCUUCUAUUUAGUAUUUCUAUUGUCUCUUGUGUGACCACUUGUGCUGGCACUAUAAGCAGUUUAAGGAUCUUUGCACUGGCCCAAUCUAUAUGCACCUGCUCAGCAAACACUUCUUCUGACAAUGCUGUGGUAAUCC
rnacentral:lncRNA from 1 species